rnacentral:rRNA from 1 species
UACGAGGGGGGCGAGCGUUGUUCGGAAUUAUUGGGCGUAAAGGGUGCGUAGGCGGUUUGGUAAGUCUGAUGUGAAAUCUAUGGGCUCAACUCAUAGUCUGCAUCGGAAAACUGCCGGGCUUGAGUGUGGGAGAGGUGAGUGGAAUUCCUGGUGUAGCGGUGAAAAUGCGUAGAUAUCAGGAGGAACACCUGUGGCGAAAAGCGGCUCACUGGACCAUAACUGACGCUGAUGCACGAAAGCUAGGGGAGCAAACAGG